GAAAGACCGCGGUGACGAAGUCACGCACGAGC
rnacentral:sRNA from 1 species